rnacentral:rRNA from 1 species
GAUGAACGCUGGCGGCGUGCCUAAUACAUGCAAGUCGAGCGAACGGACGAGAAGCUUGCUUCUCUGAUGUUAGCGGCGGACGGGUGAGUAACACGUGGAUAACCUACCUAUAAGACUGGGAUAACUUCGGGAAACCGGAGCUAAUACCGGAUGAUAUUUUGAACCGCAUGGCUCAAAAGUGAAAGACGGUCUUGCUGUCACUUAUAGAUGGAUCCGCGCUGCAUUAGCUAGUUGGUAAGGUAACGGCUUACCAAGGCAACGAUGCAUAGCCGACCUGAGAGGGUGAUCGGCCACACUGGAACUGAGACACGGUCCAGACUCCUACGGGAGGCAGCAGUAGGGAAUCUUCCGCAAUGGGCGAAAGCCUGACGGAGCAACGCCGCGUGAGUGAUGAAGGUCUUCGGAUCGUAAAACUCUGUUAUUAGGGAAGAACAUAUGUGUAAGUAACUGUGCACAUCUUGACGGUACCUAAUCAGAAAGCCACGGCUAACUACGUGCCAGCAGCCGCGGUAAUACGUAGGUGGCAAGCGUUAUCCGGAAUUAUUGGGCGUAAAGCGCGCGUAGGCGGUUUUUUAAGUCUGAUGUGAAAGCCCACGGCUCAACCGUGGAGGGUCAUUGGAAACUGGAAAACUUGAGUGCAGAAGAGGAAAGUGGAAUUCCAUGUGUAGCGGUGAAAUGCGCAGAGAUAUGGAGGAACACCAGUGGCGAAGGCGACUUUCUGGUCUGUAACUGACGCUGAUGUGCGAAAGCGUGGGGAUCAAACAGGAUUAGAUACCCUGGUAGUCCACGCCGUAAACGAUGAGUGCUAAGUGUUAGGGGGUUUCCGCCCCUUAGUGCUGCAGCUAACGCAUUAAGCACUCCGCCUGGGGAGUACGACCGCAAGGUUGAAACUCAAAGGAAUUGACGGGGACCCGCACAAGCGGUGGAGCAUGUGGUUUAAUUCGAAGCAACGCGAAGAACCUUACCAAAUCUUGACAUCCUUUGACAACUCUAGAGAUAGAGCCUUCCCCUUCGGGGGACAAAGUGACAGGUGGUGCAUGGUUGUCGUCAGCUCGUGUCGUGAGAUGUUGGGUUAAGUCCCGCAACGAGCGCAACCCUUAAGCUUAGUUGCCAUCAUUAAGUUGGGCACUCUAAGUUGACUGCCGGUGACAAACCGGAGGAAGGUGGGGAUGACGUCAAAUCAUCAUGCCCCUUAUGAUUUGGGCUACACACGUGCUACAAUGGACAAUACAAAGGGCAGCGAAACCGCGAGGUCAAGCAAAUCCCAUAAAGUUGUUCUCAGUUCGGAUUGUAGUCUGCAACUCGACUACAUGAAGCUGGAAUCGCUAGUAAUCGUAGAUCAGCAUGCUACGGUGAAUACGUUCCCGGGUCU